GUCCAGUCUAGCCUAGUGGACAUGGCAUCUGCCCGGUAAGCGGAACACUAUGGUUUCGAUUCCCAUCCCUGGUCA
rnacentral:tRNA from 1 species